GUAUUGAUUCUUCCAGUUGCUUGAUCAAAAGAAAAACAUUGUGCCGUUUCAGAGUCUUGCAAAACAUUAAUUUUAUGAAGUAGUGUUGUUGAAGAUGUGGUAGAAUUGCCACAUCGUUCAAUUGUAGUUCUUGUCUGCCAUCUAGAUUUCAGCGUGUAUGCAACGUUUUCAAUAAGAAGGUAAAAACCAUUACCGCGUUCUUCCUAUAUGUGGCCCGCACCAGAUUUCCACACAUGCUUCUUCACCAGCAACUCCUGUUAUUUCAUAAACAUCUGAUAUGAGCUGAAGAAAAUAUCGUUGUUGAAUGAAAAUCAAAAACUACGUCAUAAAAACUAAAAUGUACUUGAGCUGGCAUCAAAUUUUCAACACGAUCAAGCCUUUCAACUCUAGCAGACAGUUGUAAACGGCCCAUAUAAGAAUUAGAGGGGUCAUUACCAACGAAAGCGUAAAAAUUAAACCAACGAAUUGUCACCGGUCGGCUUCGAAGUUCAGCGAAAGAUAGGCGUCCUUUUAAAAUAAUAGCGUCCUGUUUUUUUAAAAAAAGAAGAUUAUUGCUGUCUUAUGAGACAAAUUUCCUACUUGCUGAACGGGUGUAACAACAGGAAUGCGGAAGCAUUCAUUGAAAGAAUGGUUUCGAGUACUUCGAGCUUGCGACUAAGAGAAUGAACCCGCGAAUUCACAUGUCAGAAAUGGAUCUCUUUCAGCUGUACAAUUAUAAAAUAAAUUCAAUAUUUUAUUUUAAACUCUUAUAUUCAUAACAAUUUAUUUUUUUAACAAGCGUUAAAAAUUAUGUCUAAAACCAAUGGGUUAAGUUUUUUACAAAGGUUUUAACCUUCAUUGACCUUUUGUCAAUUACUCGCCGUACCUUUAGAUCUUGCAGUAAUAGGGAUUUUGUUAGGUGAAAUGCUGUCCAAAACCCCAUGACGUAUAUCAUCUUCAUUUCCAACGUUGUCAUCAGAGUCUUGAUCGUUUGGACUAGGUGGUAUGUCUUCGGGUCCAAUAACAUAAACUGUAAUACGGAGAAAACCUUUAAUUCCGGGUUCAUUCAUUAAGUACAAAGGAACUGAUCUGCAAAACACACAAAAAGUUAGAUUACGAAGAGAAAUCAUUUUCUGACACUUACCGCUUGACUUGAUGACAACGACGUGCAUGAAUCAUGGAUACUAAAAACAAAUAACUUUUUUACAUCAUAUAAAUGUAUUUACAUUGCAGUGUGCAACUUCCAAUAACAUCGUUUCUCCAAAACGCAUUCGCGGACUGGACUUCAAAAACAAUACAAGCAGAUGCCCAAGCCUAGACCACACGACGGCAUGUUGUGAGAAAACAUAAGUCAUUAUUUACAUGGCUUGAUAAGGUGAUAUCCGACCAAAUAUGCGAUUGAUCCCAGCUCACUACUCCAGUUUUACCUCUUUAAUAUGAAUUUCAGACAGUAUAAUGUCAUGAAAAGAUUGAGUUUUUACUCAUACCUUUUUAUCUCAGUACAAAAUUCGUUUGAACCACAUCGAACAACUACAAGCUAACACAAAAUAUUACAUUUAACGAUCAUUGAACUAAACUAAAUUCAUUUAUACUCACAGGAUCCACUGGGUUUCCUCCCUUCGUUACUAAUGACUUGGCGUCAUGGACGGUAAAACCGAUGGUGAAUGUGCUGGAUGACAUACUUGUUAAUGUUUUUUCUUAAAAAUUUAAAUAACAAAAAAAAAAUGAUUUCUUAAUAGAAGAAAUACAACUAACGUUAAGCUUCUUAUUAGUCACAGAACAUUUGAGCUUCCGCUCUCCCUCAGUUAUUUAAAAAAAAAAAUUUAACAUAACUUUUUACGUCUGUUAAUUUUAAAAAAUUAAGACAACGUAGUGUUUGUUACGUGUACCAUAUUGAAAAUCAAGGGCUUUUAAUGGCCAAUUUUUCAGCCAUCAAUGACACUUUUAACACUAUGCUUUUUUUAAAUGUAUCGUCAACGUUUCAUGUAGUAGUUUUGAAUGCCUUGUUUCCAUUAAGAGUAUU